rnacentral:pre_miRNA from 1 species
AGAAUGUUUCUGCAUGAUUCAGACAGCCGUAUGAGUGGCAGAAUAUUACUAUAAUAAUUAUUUGCCACUCAUACGGAUGCUAGAAUCUUGUAAGUACCAAUUCA